UACGAAGGGGGCUAGCGUUGUUCGGAAUCACUGGGCGUAAAGCGCACGCAGGCGGAUCGAUAAGUCAGGGGUGAAAUCCCGGGGCUCAACCUCGGAAUUGCCUUUGAUACUGUCGAUCUCGAGUCCGGGAGAGGUGAGUGGAAUUCCUAGUGUAGAGGUGAAAUUCGUAGAUAUUAGGAAGAACACCAGUGGCGAAGGCGGCUCACUGGCCCGGUACUGACGCUCAGGUGCGAAAGCGUGGGGAGCAAACAGG
rnacentral:rRNA from 1 species